UACGUAGGGGGCAAGCGUUGUCCGGAAUCAUUGGGCGUAAAGCGCGUGUAGGCGGCCAGAAAAGUCCGCUGUGAAAACUCGAGGCUCAACUUCGAGCUGUCGGUGGAAACUUUCUGGCUAGAGUCCGGAAGAGGAGAAUGGAAUUCCUGGUGUAGCGGUGAAAUGCGCAGAUAUCAGGAAGAACGCCCGUGGCGAAGGCGGUUCUCUGGGACGGUACUGACGCUGAGACGCGAAAGCGUGGGGAGCGAACAGG
rnacentral:rRNA from 1 species